AACGAACGCUGGCGGCAUGCCUAACACAUGCAAGUCGAACGAGACCACCGGAUCUGGUGGCGCAUGGGGGCGUAGCGCGGGGGAACCUGCCGUAAGGUUCGGAAUAAUACCCCGAAGGGGGUGCUAAUACAGGAAAAUUUAUGCGGACACAAGAUUCAUCGUCCUUGGAUGGGCACGCGUUGGUUUAGCUGGUUGGUAGGGUAAAAGCCUACCAAGGCGAGGAUCCAUAGCGGGGCUGAGAGGAAGGGCCGCCACACUUGGACUGGGCCACGGCACAGACUCUUGCGGGAGGCAGCAGUGGGGAAUAUUGGACAAUGGGCGAAAGCCUGAUCCAGUUAUGCCGCGUGAGUGAUGAAGGCCUUAGGGUUGUAAAGCUCGUUUACCCGGGACGAUAAUGACAGUACCGGGAGAAUAAGCACCGGCUAACUCCGUG
rnacentral:rRNA from 1 species